rnacentral:lncRNA from 1 species
CCGGUUUAGGAUGACAUUGCUACCAGAAAAGACAGAAUAGGGCUUUUCCCACCAGCUCUCUUACAGAACAUAAAGUGUCUGUACAGAUGCACUGAUACUACAAUCCAUGAAGGACAGAAAGCAGAAACAAAGCACCAAGUCACUUUUGGUGGCAUUCUGAAUCAGACUGCUUAAGCCAACAAGGCCAUGCCAACAGACUUCCCUGUUGGCUCUGGGCAUGUUGGGACAUUUCUUAUUGCUUUUGCUUUCUGCUGCUGAAGUCAGAGCAAUGGCACUUCAUUGCAUCACAGGCAUCUAAUGAUGGCAGCUACAGAACAACUGGAAGACUACGUACAUGGCACAAGUGCAUGACAAACAUCCAAACAAGGUGAUUUCUUACCUGUACCUGAAAUUACCACAGGUCACAAUUAUCCCACUCUUUCUUUCUAUCCCACUCUUUCUUUCUAUCCCACUCUUACCCCACUCCCACUCAGCAGUUCCCCGGCCACCAUAACGCACACACAGUAUUUUUUAUUACUGCAAAUAUUAUCCUUUCUCCCAACAGGACACUAUAAACAAGCAUUAAGAAAAAUCAUAGUCAACGUUUAACACCCCAGAUGUAUGGCAGAACUUUACUGACUGCAUUGGCAUUGGAACAUCACAAAGAUACUGACACAGAUGAAAUCUUCAGUUUCCUCCUACUACGUAAAACUUGUUCAUUAUGAAAGCAGCAAUUACUUCCACCACUCAAGUUACAUGAAAAGUUGAAAAAGUCCGCCCUCCCCAGCCCUUAGAGCAGUGCUUUGGUGGACUGUGUCUGUUGUUUGCCAACGCUGGAGGUCCAAUCUUGCUGGAAAGGGUGAAAAAGAGGGCAGCAUCCAAAGUAUACUGAGCCUGAAAAUCAUUGUGCCAACUCACUAAGUGUUUCAGCCACUACUCAUCUGAUUGUAUAAUGCUUCAGAUUUUGCAUAUGAAAAGAUACACUGGCAGCUCAUAGUGCUCUUUAUGAUCUCGGGCAUUAAG